AGUCAUAUGCUUGUCUCAAAGAUUAAGCCAUGCAUGUCUAAGUACAAGCUGUCUCGUACAGUGAAACUGCGAAAGGCUCAUUAAAUCAGUUAUGGUUCCUUAGAUCGUACCCACGUUACAUGGAUAACUGUGGUAAUUCUAGAGCUAAUACAUGCCGACAGAGCUCCGACCAGCGCGUCGUCGUUCGGCGGUUCGCCCGUCGUCGGCGGCCGUUCGGAAGGAGCGCUUUUAUUAGAUCAAAACCGGCCAAGCGUUCGGAUUGCGCUUCGCGCGCACUUCCGGACGUAAGUGGCCCGCGCAAAGACUUGACGACUCUGAAUAACUUCGAGCUGAUCGCACGGUCCUCGUACCGGCGACGUAUCUUUCAAAUGUCUGCCUUAUCAACUGUCGACGGUAGGUUCUACGCCUACCGUGGUGGUAACGGGUAACGGGGAAUCAGGGUUCGAUUCCGGAGAGGGAGCCUGAGAAACGGCUACCACAUCCAAGGAAGGCAGCAGGCACGAAAAUUAUCCAUUCAGGACUCCUGGAGAUAGUGACGAAAAAUAACGAUACGGGACUCAUCCGAGGCCCCGUAAUCGGA
rnacentral:rRNA from 1 species